rnacentral:rRNA from 1 species
GACGAACGCUGGCGGCGUGCUUAACACAUGCAAGUCGAACGGAAAGGCCCUGCUUGCAGGGUACUCGAGUGGCGAACGGGUGAGUAACACGGGGGUGAUCUGCCCUGCACUUCGGGAUAAGCCUGGGAAACUGGGUCUAAUACCGGAUAGGAGCCAUUUUUAGUGGGAUGGUUGGAAAGUUUUUUUCGGUGUAGGAUGAGCUCGCGGCCUAUCAGCUUGUUGGUGGGGUAAUGGCCUACCAAGGCGGCGACGGGUAGCCGGCCUGAGAGGGUGGACGGCCACAUUGGGACUGAGAUACGGCCCAGACUCCUACGGGAGGCAGCAGUGGGGAAUAUUGCACAAUGGGCGCAAGCCUGAUGCAGCGACGCCGCGUGGGGGAUGACGGCCUUCGGGUUGUAAACUCCUUUCGCUAGGGACGAAGCUUUUUGUGACGGUACCUAGAUAAGAAGCACCGGCUAACUACGUG